GUGAGGAAUAUUGCGCAAUGGAGGCAACUCUGACGCAGCCAUGCCGCGUGCAGGAAGAAGGCGCUACGCGUUGUAAACUGCUUUUAACCGGGAAGAAACCCCAGGACGUGUCCUGGGUUGACGGUACCGGAGGAAUAAGCACCGGCUAACUUCGUGCCAGCAGCCGCGGUAAUACGAAGGGUGCAAGCGUUAUCCGGAUUCAUUGGGUUUAAAGGGUGCGUCGGCGGAGCGUUACGUCAGUGGUGAAAUCCUGCAGCUUAACUGUAGACUUGCCAUUGAUACUGGCGCUCUUGAGUGCGCUUGAAGUGGGCGGAAUGUGCCGUGUAGCGGUGAAAUGCUUAGAUAUGGCACAGAACACCAAUUGCGAAUGCAGCUCACUAAGGCGAUACUGACGCUGAGGCACGAAAGCGUGGGGAUCGAACAGGAUGAGAUACCCCAGUAGUCC
rnacentral:rRNA from 1 species